rnacentral:rRNA from 1 species
GAUGAACGCUGGCGGCGUGCCUAAUACAUGCAAGUCGAGCGAGCAGAUGAGGAGCUUGCUCCUCUGACGUUAGCGGCGGACGGGUGAGUAACACGUGGAUAACCUACCUAUAAGACUGGGAUAACUUCGGGAAACCGGAGCUAAUACCGGAUAAUAUAUUGAACCGCAUGGUUCAAUAGUGAAAGACGGUUUUGCUGUCACUUAUAGAUGGAUCCGCGCCGCAUUAGCUAGUUGGUAAGGUAACGGCUUACCAAGGCAACGAUGCGUAGCCGACCUGAGAGGGGGAUGGGCCAAACAGGACGUGAAACCCGGCCCAGGCCCCCAGGGGGGGCAGAAGUAGGGAAUCUUCCGAAAUGGGCGAAAGCCUGACGGAGCAACGCCCGGUGAGUGAUGAAGGUUUUCGGAUCGUAAAACUCUGUUAUUAGGGAAAAACAAAUGUGUAAGUAACUAUGCCCGUCUUGACGGUACCUAAUCAGAAAGCCACGGCUAACUACGU